CGGCGGACGGGUGGAGUAACACGUGGAUAACCUACCUAUAAGACUGGGAUAACUUCGGGAAACCGGAGCUAAUACCGGAUAAUAUAUUGAACCGCAUGGUUCAAUGGUGAAAGACGGUUUUGCUGUCACUUAUAGAUGGAUCCGCGCCGCAUUAGCUAGUUGGUAAGGUAACGGCUUACCAAGGCAACGAUGCGUAGCCGACCUGAGAGGGUGAUCGGCCACACUGGAACUGAGACACGGUCCAGACUCCUACGGGAGGCAGCAGGC
rnacentral:rRNA from 1 species